GAGCGAUGAAGGCCUUCGGGUCGUAAAGCUCUGUCCUCAAGGAAGAUAAUGACGGUACUUGAGGAGGAAGCCCCGGCUAACUACGUGCCAGCAGCCGCGGUAAUACGUAGGGGGCUAGCGUUAUCCGGAUUUACUGGGCGUAAAGGGUGCGUAGGCGGUCUUUCAAGUCAGGAGUGAAAGGCUACGGCUCAACCGUAGUAAGCUCUUGAAACUGGGAGACUUGAGUGCAGGAGAGGAGAGUGGAAUUCCUAGUGUAGCGGUGAAAUGCGUAGAUAUUAGGAGGAACACCAGUAGCGAAGGCGGCUCUCUGGACUGUAACUGACGCUGAGGCACGAAAGCGUGGGGAGCGAACAGGAUUAGAUACCCUGGUAGUCCACGCCGUAAACGAUGAGUACUAGGUGUCGGGGGUUACCCCCCUCGGUGCCGCAGCUAACGCAUUAAGUACUCCGCCUGGGGAGUACGCUCGCAAGAGUGAAACUCAAAUGAAUUGACGG
rnacentral:rRNA from 1 species